GCUGCGCAGAGAGGGAGAGCUGCGCAGCGCUCCUUCAGCAACGCGCCUGUCCUGCGAAGCUAGAGGAGGAACAGAAGGGGCUCCUUCUGUUCCUCCACCCGCUUCGCUGAAGGGGUGCUGCGCAGCUCUCGCUCUCUGCGCAGC